rnacentral:rRNA from 1 species
AUGAACGCUGGCGGCGUGCCUAAUACAUGCAAGUCGAGCGAACAGACGAGGAGCUUGCUCCUCUGACGUUAGCGGCGGACGGGUGAGUAACACGUGGAUAACCUACCUAUAAGACUGGGAUAACUUCGGGAAACCGGAGCUAAUACCGGAUAAUAUAUUGAACCGCAUGGUUCAAUAGUGAAAGACGGUUUUGCUGUCACUUAUAGAUGGAUCCGCGCCGCAUUAGCUAGUUGGUAAGGUAACGGCUUACCAAGGCAACGAUGCGUAGCCGACCUGAGAGGGUGAUCGGCCACACUGGAACUGAGACACGGUCCAGACUCCUACGGGAGGCAGCAGUAGGGAAUCUUCCGCAAUGGGCGAAAGCUUGACGGAGCAACGCCGCGUGAGUGAUGAAGGUCUUCGGAUCGUAAAGCUCUGUUAUUAGGGAAGAACAAAUGUGUAAGUAACUAUGCACGUCUUGACGGUACCUAAUCAGAAAGCCACGGCUAACUACGUG